rnacentral:misc_RNA from 1 species
GGAAAAGGAAAACAGAUAUUUGGAACUGUCACAGCACAGGAUCUUGUUGAUAUUAUCAAGGCACAACUUCAGAGGGAUAUCGACAAGCGGAUUGUUUUUCUUCCAGAGAUCAGGGAAACGGGAGAAUAUGUUGCAGAGCUGAAGCUUCACCCUGAAGUUACUGCUCGAGUGAGAGUGAAUGUUUUUGCCAACUGAAAUUAUUUCCAGAUUUUACAAAGUUAAUGUAGCAGCAACACAUUUUUC